GGUUGGCCUCGGACUUGUGAUCCUCCUGCCUCAGCCUCCUGGCCUCAUCUAAUGUUGUUUGAGAGACCAGAGAAGUUUACCUGCCUUAGGAACGACUGCAUAUAGAAACAGCUCAGAGCUCACCACCUUCACCUUUGAAGAAAGGGAUUCUCACCUCUAAGCUACAUCUGUGGCUCAGUUGCUUCAGGAAAUUGAUACUCCACCAAGAGAAAUGAUCAGAAUUAACUUUCGGUUUUGACUAAUUUCCUUUGCUGGCUUGCAGUCGGGUGCUCCCAGAGUCUCUCAGGACUCCAGGAGGGAAACUUGAUCUUCCACAGAAACCACAGCCUGGACAUGGCCACAGCACUGUGCUACGUUUGGCCUGAGAACAAGAGCGCGCCACCAUGAUGAGCAGGGCCUUUGUGAGAGCAGCACUCAUCUGCCACCUCCUGGGCACACAUGCACCUUCUGGGGCUGCCCCGGGGCAGACUUGCUGCCCCUGCUCAUGGGACACCAUUUCUGCUGGGUGACUCAUGGUACAAUGACACGGCUUCAUCGCUUUUGACUCACAAAGCGAUUUCCUAUCACGAAGCACCUGGGAUAAAAGUCUUCAUUCACAGCCUGGCUUGGUGGUGCACACCUGCUAUGCCAGCACACGGCGAGGCUGGGCAGCUUUGUGAGAUCCUGUCUCAAAAUAAAAAAUAAAGCUAAAAAAGGGCUGAGGCUGUAACUCAGUGGCAAGGCCCUGGUUUAAUUUCACUCACACACUCUCACGCGCACACAUGUGUGACCCUCAUUCACCUAAUACAAAUGUAUUAGACAUCUGCUCUGUACCAGUCGUUGUGGGGGCCCAAUAGCAUCUGAGAAUGCUGCCUGCAAACAGUUUCCCUGUCAGUGACAGGGAAGGAACAGACGUGAGUACACACAAAAUGGAAUGUCUUCAGAAUCGCAGUGGAGAAAAAAAUCAAGUGGAACCAGAUGAUAAAGCCCUAGAAGCUGCUGAUCUACACAGGGAAUCACUCCACUGAGGAAAAUGACCAUGCGAAUCACCGUGCUGCACAGCACCGCCGAAGGGUAAACGCGCUGGAGUUAUAAAAUCAACAGCUGGUCAAAAGGCUACAAUUGAUAUUAUGUCUCCUCCACGUGAUUCCAAACGGAAGGGUGACAUGAAAAGCAGCCUCCAAAAUAUGUACCCUUGAGAUGUAGCUGGAUCUACUUGUGAUGGCUUCUUUUGUCUAGAAAACUUGACAAUUUUGUGCCUCUUUACAGGUUUGUCAGCAACAAAACUGGCACCAAAUAAAGACUAGCAGAGCUACUGGGAUCCUGAAAGCACA